UACGGAGGGGGCUAGCGUUGUUCGGAAUUACUGGGCGUAAAGCGCGCGUAGGCGGACCUGCAAGUCGGGGGUGAAAGCCUGUGGCUCAACCACAGAAUUGCCUUCGAUACUGUAGAGCUUGAGACCGGAAGAGGUAAGUGGAACUGCGAGUGUAGAGGUGAAAUUCGUAGAUAUUCGGAAGAACACCAGUGGCGAAGGCGGCUCACUGGUCCGGUACUGACGCUGAGGUGCGAAAGCGUGGGGAGCAAACAGG
rnacentral:rRNA from 1 species